rnacentral:rRNA from 1 species
GACGAACGCUGGCGGCGUGCUUAACACGUGCAAGUCGAACGGAAAGGCCUCAGCUUGCUGGGGUACUCGAGUGGCGAACGGGUGAGUAACACGUGGGUGAUCUGCCUUGCACUCUGGGAUAAGCUUGGGAAACUGGGUCUAAUACCGGAUAUGAACUGCCUUUAGUGUGGUGGUUGGAAAGUUUUUUCGGUGCAAGAUGAGCUCGCGGCCUAUCAGCUUGUUGGUGGGGUAAUGGCCUACCAAGGCGUCGACGGGUAGCCGGCCUGAGAGGGUGUACGGCCACAUUGGGACUGAGAUACGGCCCAGACUCCUACGGGAGGCAGCAGUGGGGAAUAUUGCACAAUGGGCGGAAGCCUGAUGCAGCGACGCCGCGUGGGGGAUGACGGCCUUCGGGUUGUAAACUCCUUUCGACAGGGACGAAGCUUUUUGUGACGGUACCUGUAGAAGAAGCACCGGCUAACUACGUG